UACGUAGGGGCAAGCGUUGUCCGGAUUUAUUGGCGUAAAGAGCGUGUAGGCGGCCAUGUAGGUCCGUUGUGAAACUCGAGGCUCAACCUCGAGACGCCGAUGGAAACCAUUUGGCUAGAGUCCGGAAGAGGAGAGUGGAAUUCCGUGGUGUAGCGGUGAAAUGCGCAGAUAUCAGGAAGAACACCCGUGGCUAAGGCGGCUCUCUAGUACGGUACUGACGCUGAGACGCGAAAGCGUGGGAGCGAACAGG
rnacentral:rRNA from 1 species